rnacentral:rRNA from 1 species
CCUACGGGUGGCAGCAGUGGGGAAUAUUGGGCAAUGGACGCAAGUCUGAACCAGCCAUGCCGCGUGAAGGAAGACGGCUCUAUGAGUUGUAAACUGCUUUUGUACGGGGGUAAACGCAGACACGCGUGCCUGUCUGAAAGUACUUUACGAAUAAGGAUCGGCUAACUCCGUGCCAGCAGCCGCGGUAAUACGGAGGAUUCAAGCGUUAUCCGGAUUUAUUGGGUUUAAAGGGUGCGUAGGGGGGCGGAUAAGUUAGAGGUGAAAUCCCGGGGCUCAACUUCGGAAUUGCCUUUGAUACUGGUCGGCUAGAGAGUAGUUGCGGUAGGCGGAAUGUAUGGUGUAGCGGUGAAAUGCUUAGAGAUCAUGCAGAACACCGAUUGCGAAGGCAGCUUACCAAGCUACUUCUGACGUUGAGGCACGAAAGCGUGGGGAUCAAACAGGAUUAGAUACCCUUGUAGUC